UGCCCUUUGUACACACCGCCCGU
rnacentral:ncRNA from 2 species